GUGGGGCCAAAAAUCCACAGGGAGGGACAUUCACCUCUGACUGGAAUAAUACCUACUGGUUUUCAUCCAGAGAUCUAAAAGCAUUUGACAAGUGUCAUUGUGGAAGAUCAUAAUGCCUCAGUAGUUAAAGGAAAAUGAGACAGGAACAAUAUAGUAGAUGCAUCUGGCAGGAUGGGGAAUAUUACAGCUGCGAGGCACAUAUGCCAGAAGGAAAUUAAGAACAAUACACAUCUGUCUUGAAGACUGGCACCUUUUAGAGCCAACAUUCUAAACAAAGGAACAGCAUGUUACAUGUUGCCUCAGCAUAACCAUGAAUGUAAAGUAAACAGCAGUUUGAUAUGUAGACACAACAUAUGCUGAGAAAAAGGCUCUGCUUAUGUUUGUUUCAAACUAUCUCAUGCAAACUUUUCUCUAAGUUUCUAUAGCUGAGUAGUGGGCCAUUAGCUGAGGUAGUGUGAUCAGUCCAGGGGUCCACUUUUAUGCAGUGGAAGGGAUCAUAAAAGCAUUUUAUGCAUUAUUUGUAUUUAGAGACAGGGAC